CGCGGGUGAAAUCCCAGGGCUCAACCAUUAAACAACCCUCGAAACUGUCAACCUGUAAUCUGCAGGAGCUGACUGGAAUUCAGAGUGAAGAGGUGAAAAUCGCAUAUGGGCGGAGGAACGCCAUUGGCAAAGGCGGCUAACUGGUCCAUUACUGACGCUGAUGUGCUAAAGCGUGACGAGCACACAGGAUUAAAUACCCUGGUAGCCAACGCCAUAACCUAUGACUGUUGGCCGUCGCCCAUUCUAUUGUUCUGUGGCGCAGCUAACGCACUAACCCUUCCGCCUGGGGAGUACGGUAACAAGAUUAAAACUCAAAGGAAUUGACGGAGUUGAAAAUCAAUUGAAUUGACUGUAACC
rnacentral:rRNA from 1 species